rfam:Brassica oleracea var. oleracea cultivar TO1000 chromosome C7, whole genome shotgun sequence
GGGCAUUUGGUAUAGUGGUAAGAUUCUCGCUUUGGGUGCGAGAGGUCCCGAGUUCGAUUCUCAGAAUGCCUC